rnacentral:rRNA from 1 species
GACAUCCCAAUGACAUCUCCUUAAUCGGAGAGUUCCCUUCGGGGACAUUGGUGACAGGUGGUGCAUGGUUGUCGGCAGCUCGUGUCGUGAGAUGUUGGGUUAAGUCCCGCAACGAGCGCAACCCUUGUCUUUAGUUGCCAUCAUUAAGUUGGGCACUCUAGAGAGACUGCCAGGGAUAACCUGGAGGAAGGUGGGGAUGACGUCAAAUCAUCAUGCC